rnacentral:rRNA from 1 species
AGUGGUUAAAUAGCGAACUGGAAUGGCAUGGGAAGGCCAAUCGUAGAGGGUGAGAAUCCCGUACAGGCAGCGAGUUUAACUGAGUGAGUAUCCUGAGUAGGUGGGGACCGGUGAAAUCCCCUCCGAAUCCGGCGGCACCAUCCGCCAAGGCUAAAUACUCCUGAGAGACCGAUAGUGAACGAGUACCGUGAGGGAAAGGUGAAAAGUACCGUGAGCAACGGGGUGAAAUAGAACUUGAAACCAUGCGCUUACAAGCGGUCGGAGCCUUCGGGUGACGGCGUGCCUUUUGCAUAAUGAGCCUACGAGUUACGGUUACUGGCAAGGUUAAUGUUUGAAGAACAGGAGCCGAAGCGAAAGCGAGUCUGAAUAGGGCGAUUAGUCAGUGGCCGUAGACGCGAAACUUUGUGAUCUACCCUUGGUCAGGUUGAAGCGCUGGUAACACAUCGUGGAGGACCGAACCGGUAAACGUUGAAAAGUUUUCGGAUGAACUGAGGGUAGGGGUGAAAGGCCAAUCAAACUGAGAAAUAGCUCGUACUCCCCGAAAUGUUUUUAGGAACAGCGUUGUGGUUGAGUCAUGUUCAGGUAGAGCUACUGAUAGGACUAGGGGGAGUCAAAUCCUACCAAAUUCUGACAAACUCCGAAUGGGGCAUGAUAUACACGGCAGUGAGGGCUGGGGUGCUAAGGUCCCAGUCCGAGAGGGGAACAACCCAGAGCAUCAGCUAAGGUCCCAAAAUAUAUGCUAAGUUGAACUAAGGGGGUCCGACUGCAGAGACAGCCAGGAUGUUAGCUUGGAAGCAGCUAUACAUUUAAAGAGUGCGUAACAGCUCACUGGUCGAGCGGGGCGGGCAUCGAUAAUAAACGGGCAUCAAGCAUAUUACCGAAGCUAUGCGAUUGUAUUUAUACAUAUCGGUAGGGGAGCAUUCUCACAGGGGUGAAGGUGUGGCGUGAGCUGCGCUGGACUGGUGAGAAAAGCAAAUGUAGGCAUAAGUAACGAUAAUGCGGAUGAGAAAUCCGCACACCGAAAGACUAAGGAUUCCUCCGCUAUGCUAAUCAACGGAGGGUUAGGCGGGGCCUAAGGGAUAGCCGACAGGCGACCCCCGAUGGACAGCAGGUUAAUAUUCCUGCCCCUGCAUGCAGUGUGAAAAAGUGACGGAGCGACGUGGAUGGUACGUACUGACGGAAUAGUGCGUUGAGCCGAGCCUACGGGCAAAGCGAA